rnacentral:rRNA from 1 species
GACGAACGCUGGCGGCGUGCUUAACACAUGCAAGUCGAACGGUAAGGCCCUUCGGGGUACACGAGUGGCGAACGGGUGAGUAACACGUGGGUGAUCUGCCCUGCACUUCGGGAUAAGCCUGGGAAACCGGGUCUAAUACCGGAUAGGACCACUGCCUGCAUGGGUGGUGGUGGAAAGCUUUUGCGGUGUGGGAUGGGCCCGCGGCCUAUCAGCUUGUUGGUGGGGUGAUGGCCUACCAAGGCGACGACGGGUAGCCGGCCUGAGAGGGUGACCGGCCACACUGGGACUGAGAUACGGCCCAGACUCCUACGGGAGGCAGCAGUGGGGAAUAUUGCACAAUGGGCGCAAGCCUGAUGCAGCGACGCCGCGUGAGGGAUGACGGCCUUCGGGUUGUAAACCUCUUUCAGCACCGACGAAGCGCAAGUGACGGUAGGUGCAGAAGAAGGACCGGCUAACUUCGUGCCAGCCGCCGCAGUAA